AGCAGGCAACCGAUGGAAUACUCAACGGCUUUUGGCACUUAUAGAAUUCACUGAAUAUGCUCUGUGCUUCGAAUUGUCAGGAAUUCCUCAGUGCCUAGAGCCGUUAAAGUCACAAGACAACACUGUUAUC
rnacentral:precursor_RNA from 10 species